rnacentral:lncRNA from 1 species
CCCACCCAUGGCAUGAUCAAACCCCAGAAAGCUUAUGGGAUGGCUGAAACCUGGGAUGAGGAGCAUGCUCAAUCUUACGCCACCUACAAGUCCCAAACUGGACCUCCAAUGUUCAAAACUCAAGUUCAUGGUCCUUCUUGGAAUGGCUUCGGCUUCCACUCCAAUACUGCAACUGCCCACAUGCAAUCCUAUGGCUUUAGUAGCCCCGGAAGAAACGAAGGUCGUGUUUAUGGCUAUGAGGGCCCCACCCCAGCCGCUAGACACCGGAAAAGUAAUGGCGGAAUGGGCCAUGGUUUCGAUAAUCAUGGAAACUACGAAAAAACUAAGGCUUACGGUUAUGAAGAGAGCAAUGGGUAUGGGGAGUACACGAUGAAUGGGAUGGCGCGUACCCAGCCGCACCUUCGCGGCAAACACACCGGACAUGGAAACGGGUUCGUCAAGAACCAAGCUUACGGCCCUACCAAAAACAUGGGCUUUGGAUAUACUGAAGCCGAGUAUAACAGCCAUUCCAAAGAAGAGCAGUACCAAUACUACGGCGG